rnacentral:rRNA from 1 species
UACGAAGGGGGCUAGCGUUGUUCGGAAUCACUGGGCGUAAAGCGCGCGUAGGCGGCUUUGUAAGUUAGAGGUGAAAGCCCGGAGCUCAACUCCGGAACUGCCUUUAAAACUGCAUCGCUUGAAUCCAGGAGAGGUGAGUGGAAUUCCGAGUGUAGAGGUGAAAUUCGUAGAUAUUCGGAAGAACACCAGUGGCGAAGGCGGCUCACUGGACUGGUAUUGACGCUGAGGUGCGAAAGCGUGGGGAGCAAACAGG